rnacentral:hammerhead_ribozyme from 1 species
ACCCAGAUGACGAGUUCGAAAUAGGACGGAACGUGCGUUCAGGAU